UACGUAGGGUGCAGGCGUUAAUCGGAAUUACUGGGCGUAAAGCGUGCGCAGGCGGCUUUGCAAGUCAGAUGUGAAAUCCCCGGGCUUAACCUGGGAACUGCAUUUGUGACUGCAUGGCUGGAGUGCGGCAGAGGGGGAUGGAAUUCCGCGUGUAGCAGUGAAAUGCGUAGAUAUGCGGAGGAACACCGAUGGCGAAGGCAAUCCCCUGGGCCUGCACUGACGCUCAUGCACGAAAGCGUGGGGAGCAAACAGG
rnacentral:rRNA from 1 species